UACAGGGGGUGCAAACGUUGCGCGGAAUCAUUGGGCGUAAAGCGCACGUAGGCGGUCUGUUAUGUCGGAUGUGAAAGCCCUUGGCUUAACUGAGGAAGUGCAUCCGAAACUGGCAGGCUAGAGUACUAAAGAGGGUCGCGGAAUUCCCGGUGUAGAGGUGAAAUUCGUAGAUAUCGGGAGGAACACCGGUGGCGAAGGCGGCGACCUGGGUAGAUACUGACGCUGAGGUGCGAAAGCGUGGGGAGCAAACAGG
rnacentral:rRNA from 1 species